AGUUCAAAGGUGACUGCUGGGGGAUUUCUGUCUUGACUGACUCCAAAUAAUGUCAGGAAAUACCAUAACUCCCAGACUGAACGUGAAGAAAUGCACUGAGAUAAGUUGACACUACAAGAAUGGGGUGCUGUGUUUCCUUCAGGUGAUUUAAUCCUUUCAUAACCGAGCAUGACUGAGCAGAAUUGCUGGAAAUGCUGAGCUGAUGCCUGAGAGCGAGGCUAACCUGGACCAGACUAAUCUGGAGCCCCUGAACUGGGACACGGCGACAGAAGAGCAUGUCUCACUGACCUUUAACUACGUGGCACCAUCAGAGACAACUAUCCAAUGUACAAUACACCAGACCAACAAGAUGAGUCAGCACCAGUAUCUUCUGCCAGGUUAAAACUUAGUGUAUAUGGUGUACAGGUAUAUGAAACAAGAAGACGAUGCAAACUGAGACAACACGGUUUUCAUUGUACAUUUGAUAAAGCAGAUUAAACUGGCUGCAACCAGUCCAGACAUGGAAUGCACUAGAAACAUUUGUUGGCCUCACCUUGUUGGGUGUGGCUGUGCUCCAAAGGCAGCAAGAUGCUCUCAAACUGCUGCAUCAUCUACACUACAUCAGAUGGUUUUUGCAGGUUUGUUUGUUGAUUUAUCUUGUGUCCUUUGCCAACUAACUGUAUAAACUGCACUCCAGUUUCUGGUUAAUACUGGUAGUAUUUCCCUCUCAGGUUCCUGUUGACCAGUUUCAUUGUAUGAUGUGUUUUUAAUGCUAACUAAAGUGACUUUUGCUUAAAUGUAAAAGACAGUUUCUUAUACAUUCUCCAUUCAGUAUUUAGUAACAGUGUGUAGUAUUCAGUACACACUGCAAUAAUGACAUUCAGUAAUCAGAGGGGUUAAAAUGCUUGACCAAAAGUUAAUCUUUAAUUAAAAUACCAUUCUCUUGAAUCUGA